AUGAGGAGAUACUGGGAAGCUGUGCUGGGGCUCCUGUGGGUGCAUGGUUGCUUAGUGACAGGGAUGAAGGUGGAGCAGAGCCCUUCAGCCCUGAGCCUGCAGGAGGGAGCCAGCUGUACUCUGAAGUGCAAUUACUCUAGCGUAGUGAACAGUGUGCAGUGGUUCCGACAGAAUCCCGGGGGCGGCAGCCUCACCAGGCUGUUUUACAUAGCUUCAGGGAUGAAGCAGAGCGGAAGGCUAAACUGCACAGUGAAUACUAAGGACCAGUCCAGCACCCUCCACGUCACGGCCUCUCAGCUGGAAGACUCAGCCACCUACCUGUGUGCCGCGGAGGCACAGUGCUCCCUGGUGAUCUGCAGCCUGCCCCCAAACUGCCUCUGGGCCUGCAGCACCAGCACUUCCCUGGGGAGGACAUGUGCUUGCACCGAGCUGCACGUUUUCAGAUUUUCAGAUUUAUUUACAGCACUUUUCCAUUGUAAAAUUAGAUCCAUCAGGGUUGUCGUUUCACCUAAUCUCGUGGCUUUUUUCCCCAGAAUACCCUUCGCAGGUAAAAAAAACUCUACCUUGGAACCGUUCAGGCAAGUGAUACAGAUGCCCAUAUCCAAUGCUCUGGGAAAACGAAAUUCCUGA